UACUGGAUGAAAAUCUCAUUUAGCAUUUUUGCUUCAUAAUACCAGGGCCCCACUGAGUACUUCUUUCAGUCACAGUGCACACACGCUGUCUAAACUCAGAGAUGUCCUUGAAGAAAACUUGGUUAUAGUUGUGUGAACCUCCUUUCUGAAACAGGCUCCUGUUUAAUGCACAUUACAUUCUGGUGUCCAUGUACUGUACGUGUUUAUCAACAGUAAUGGCACAUAAUGGUAUAUCACCCAAAUCUGUUGUUGAUUGAUUUAUUUUUUUACUGCAGUCAAAAAGAUUUUGGCUUCAGAUGACAAGGGAAAUGUCGACGCAGUUGUUGGCCCUUACCGCUUUUAUGACACAUCCUUUCGGACAUUGCAGGGGUCACAGUGGCUGGCUGAUGAUGUAAGACGCUGUUCAUUCAGUUCUGAAAACACUAACAUUAUUCUGUCAUCGCUAUGCUAAAUCUUUGUGUGUGUGUGUUACAGGUUAUAGAUGCCUAUAUGCAUAUUCUUGCUAAGAAACAGCAGGCAAGUCGAUGUUUCUAGCUGUUGCCACAUUGCUUUUUGUUUUCUUCCUCUGUGUUACUUUAUACUCCUUUAGGUCUAACAUUUUUGUAAUAUAAUCUUAUUUUAACAGAACCCUCUUCAUCAUCUAAAUGCUGUGGUAGGAUCCACUCUGCUUGUAAAUGGCAGAUUUGAGGCACUCGGAAAGAUGAAUUUGCCACAAGAGGAAAUGUGGAUCUGCCCUCUGAAUGCCGGCGCCCACUGGAUUUUAUUGAUUGUCAACCGUUCAGAGAAGCA